UCCCGUCCCGCGCGCGGCCGCCGCAUCCGUCCGGGCCUCCUCGUCUCCCCAGCCCCGCUGCCGCCGGGUUCAUCAGCAGAAGCUGCUUGCUCCGCCGCCGCCCUCUUCCUCCUCUACUGUUGCAAGAUAAAACAGUUGAAGAAAGUACAGAUGUUGUGACUGGAAACAUAUCUGGUUUUCCUGCCAGCCAAUUUGAUCAUAGUGCAUGGGCAUACAAGGGUGCCAUGGUCAGGAAUAUGCCAGAUGACCCGUCCCAGUCACAACAUCUCGUUCAAGAAGAUUUAGUUGAUGUAUUUGACAUUUUGGAUGACCUGAAGAAUGACCCUGUACAGCGUGAUUUGUUGAAAGAAGUCGAGAAACACGAUGUAAAGAAUGUUUCUACAUUUGGUUCUACUGAAAGGAGCAUCCCCCUGUCCCAAGGUUUCACGAUGCCCCGGUUGUACCUGAUGACACUGACAUUCAGUACACACCUCCUCAGCCACGAGCGACACGUUCUCAAGCUCAACCUCUGAAAUCUUCGCUCCGUACCAAUGAGACUAGGCAGAUUAGGAAAGGCCAGAAGAAGCUCAAGAAGUCGCCUAAGAAAGUCUCCCAAGAUGUUGAGCUUGAUGACAAUGGUUUCCCCAUCAUCGACUUUGCUGCUCUAGACCGUUUUGAUCCUCCUCCACAUCUUGCCGUGGAUGUUGAGAGUUAUGGUGGACCAGCUGCCUCAGGUUGAUAUGGUGGACUCGUGUCACUAUUCAGACCUGAAUGGCGUCGCAAAGUGGCUGCAAAGCAGGCAGCUUUGAGGAUGGUGGCAGAAAUUCUUGAGAAGAGGAUUGCUCACCCACAGUUGACAUACUUUACAUAUGUUGAAAAGUUCCUUCCUGAGGAUGAUCCAGAAGAUGUGAUUGCUUUGGAGUACAACCUAAUUGGCAGUAAGCAGAUUUAUGAAGCAUGUGCAGAUGGCGAAAUGAGAAGCAAUGACCAAGUGUACUACUACACCAUCUGCAUAGCUAAUGAAGACAAGCUCUUCAGGACCGAAGCUGCCGAUUACAGAAUUUUCCUUCCUACCAAUCUGUCAGUAAGUAGUAGCAUUUUUGAUUUUUAUAGUAUGCAAUAUGCAUUAGUUUUUUAUACCUUUUUUUCUUUCUAAAUUCUUCAUUUAUCAAUAUCUUUUCAGCACCAGCUACUAUGUACAGUACAACAGGGCAUGUCUUGCCCUUCUACUCAUUGCCCUGCAGCCCUAUAUGGCCAGGCAGUAGGCACUUGAGGAGUUCUACCAACUCCAUUGACUUUGCUAGAAAGAGACAAAGAUAGGAGCUAAGCAAUUACUCAACAAUUCUUCCCCUAAUUGUGAUGCUCCUUCUUGAUCUCCUCCACUCCCACCUUGUUCCUCAAUUCCUGGAGCCAAAGACGCCCAAGGGGCUUGGUGAGAAGGUCACCGUCUCACCGAGCUGUCGAGCCGUCUCGACAUACUCGAUCUUGAUCCGUGCUUCCUCAAUGCAGCCCCUGAUGAAAUGGAACUUGGUGUCGAUGUGCUUGCUGCAGUGGAGGAUGGGGUUCUUUGCCAAAGAAAUGGCAGACUUGUUGUCCACCAGCAGGACCGGCGCCCGGAGCUCUUCUCCGGUGAGCUCCUUGAGCAGUCGCGCCAGCCAAACUCUCUAGCAACAAGCUGUGGCGGUGGCAAUAUACUAUGCCUCGUAGGUGGAGAGUGCCACCACCUUCUGCUUCUGGGAUUACCAUGAAAUUGCGCACAAUCUGAG
rnacentral:misc_RNA from 1 species